rnacentral:rRNA from 1 species
UACGGAGGGUGCAAGCGUUAUCCGGAUUCACUGGGUUUAAAGGGUGCGUAGGUGGCUUUGUAAGUCAGUGGUGAAAGCCCGGAGCUCAACUCCGGAACUGCCAUUGAUACUGCUUAGCUUGAAUCAGGUCGAGGUGGAUGGAAUAUUACAUGUAGCGGUGAAAUGCUUAGAUAUGUAAUAGAACACCAAUUGCGAAGGCAGUUCACUAGACCUGUAUUGACACUGAGGCACGAAAGCGUGGGGAUCAAACAGG